rnacentral:SRP_RNA from 1 species
CUGGGCUACUGUAGGGAGGUAGCUGUUAUGGUUCUCUGCCACAGCGUCAGGCAAAGGGAUGGUUCUUCAGACUCAUUCCUUUGUUAGCAAUAUGGUGACGAUGUUCUGUCUGACCAAUAGCGGUGUGACCAUAGUAUCUCCCCAUGAAUAAGGAGAAACUAGGGUCCUAAUGAAAGGUGAACCGGUUGAGGCAGGAUAACUGAGCAAAUCAUAGCCUUCACACUGUAGGAUGGUCAGAUUGCAGAACUGAGCAUGAGCUAUCAGAGAGUGAAAUCUGGGAGUCAGACUAAUGUUUUU